UAUAAGAUCUGUGUGCUUUCUUUCCGUUCUUGCAGCACUCACUCUGCCUAGCAGGGUGGGUGCUGCUGGCCUCUUUUUCACUUUUUCAGGUGGAGAAGUUGACAUCCCACUCCCACGGGUGGAACAGUACUCGAGACCUCUAGAGGUCAAACACAAUGGAUCUCAGCAAGAGAAAACACAGCUCUGUGCAAUCCUACAUUUUCAAUUGUGUUGAAUAGCUUGGAUCAUGCAGAUCAAUGGCACAGUGUUUUAUUUUGAUGGGCUUCAUUGGAGUACUGGUGCACAGCACCUGAAGAUGGUGGAUGCUGUGGAGAAAGGAAAGGAAGAUAAAAAACAAGUUACUGAAAUAACGCGCUAUGAUUAAAACGAAGAAAAAUAAAUGACAGUGAAGCAACACAACAAUAUUCUCAUGCUGUGCCAGAAAGAAAUGAAAAGUAGAAAUAAGUGACUGAAGCAACACGCUGUUAUAAAAAAGCAGACAACAAAGCAACAUAAAAAUCAUUUUCUGUUUUAUCGAGGUGUAAUGUAAAAUCUUUUUGUUAAUGUUUUAAGUGCAAGGUUUUGGAUGUAUAUUUGUACCUAUCAUGUAUAUGGCUCUUGACUCACUAAAUAAUUAAUGCUGAAAAAUACUUAUAUGUAUAUGGGAUCCGGAACUAUGUAUACACCUGCUGCCUUCAAAGCACUUAAAAACACAUAUCAAGUAAUGUCAACUACUGUAAAUUUAUCCCUUAUGUAUUUUGACCCUCCUGUGGCCUUAGUCCUGUGCUAAGGCCACAGGGGAAUUAUGCUUUGGGCUGUCUGUGUCACUUGGUUUGGUUGGUAAGAAGGAAGCCAGCCAGUAAAACUGGAACAGAAACAAAUCUGAAUUCUUUCAUAAGGCAAAACGAUAUUGUUAAAAAUGGAAUAAAACAGUAACAUUUAA